ACUAGAGUUCGAUUCUGUUCUUAAUUGAAUGGAGUAGCUAUCUCUCGGGGUGGUCAAUUGGUUGUUAUAUCUCCACUAAUGAGCGGAGAGGGGUAAAACCUUCAAAGUAAGUUAUGUGGGUCAAGGUAUAAUGAUUAAUUGGAGUUCUAGUUCAUUUACUUUGAGAAAAUUAGAGUGUUUAAAGCAGCCUCUUGGGGCACUGAAUACAUUAGCAUGGGAUAAUAAAAUAGGAUCUUCACAAUAUAUUUUAUUGGUUUAAAUUGCGUAUGAAGAUAAUGAUUAAUAGGGACAGUUGGGGGUAUUCAUAUUGGGUGGUUAGCGGUGAAAAUGCUCGGAUCCAUUCAAGAUGAACUAAAGCGAAGGCAUUUACCAAGGAUGUUUUCAUUAAUCAAGAACGAAAGUUAAGGGGAUCGAAGACGAUUAGAUACCGUCGUAGUCUUAACUAUAAACUAUGCCGACCAGGGAU
rnacentral:rRNA from 1 species